rnacentral:rRNA from 1 species
GUGCCAGCCGCCGCGGUAAUACCGGCAGCUCGAGUGAUGUCCGAUAUUAUUGGGCCUAAAGCGUCCGUAGCUGGCUGCGCAAGUCCGUCGGGAAAUCCACCCGCCCAACGAGUGGGCGUCCGACGGAAACUGCACGGCUUGGGACCGGAAGGCUCGGAGGGUACGUUCGGGGUAGGAGUGAAAUCCCGUAAUCCCGCACGGACCACCGAUGGCGAAAGCACUUCGAGAAAACGGCUCCGACAGUGAGGGACGAAAGCCAGGGUCUCCAACCGGAUUAGAAACCCCUGUAGUCC